ACAGAGGUGGCAAGCGUUGUUCGGAAUUACUGGGCGUAAAGGGCGCGUAGGCGGUCUUGUAAGUCUUGUGUGAAAUCCCUCGGCUUAACUGAGGAACUGCACGAGAUACUGCAAGACUUGAGAUCGGGAGAGGGAAGCGGAAUUCCGGGUGUAGCGGUGAAAUGCGUAGAUAUCCGGAGGAACACCGGUGGCGAAGGCGGCCCGCUGGGCAGGAAGACCCCGUAAGGGGUCGGCUGACGCUGAGGCGCGACAGCGUGGGGAGCAAACAGGA
rnacentral:rRNA from 1 species